rnacentral:rRNA from 1 species
GAUGAACGCUAGCGGCGGGCCUAAUACAUGCAAGUCGAACGGGAUUGUUGGUAGCAAUACUGACAUGAGAGUGGCGCACAGGUGCGUAACACGUAUGUAACCUACCUUUAACUGGGGAAUAGCUUCGAGAAAUCGAAAUUAAUACCCCAUAACAUUUAGAAAAGGCAUCUUUUCUUUAUCAAAGCUCCGGCGGUUAAAGAUGGACAUGCGGUGCAUUAGCUUGUUGGUGAGGUAACGGCUCACCAAGGCUGCGAUGCAUAGGGGGUCUGAGAGGAUGAUCCCCCACACUGGUACUGAGACACGGACCAGACUCCUACGGGAGGCAGCAGUAGGGAAUAUUGGGCAAUGGACGAAAGUCUGACCCAGCCACGCCGCGUGAAGGAUGACGGCCCUAUGGGUUGUAAACUUCUUUUGUAUGGGAAGAAACCCCCGAACGUGUUCGGGGCUGACGGUACCAUAAGAAUAAGGAUCGGCUAACUCCGUGCCAGCCGCCGCCGUAAGAC